rnacentral:rRNA from 1 species
UAACACGUGGGUAACCUGCCUGUAAGACUGGGAUAACUCCGGGAAACCGGGGCUAAUACCGGAUGCUUGUUUGAACCGCAUGGUUCAAACAUAAAAGGUGGCUUCGGCUACCACUUACAGAUGGACCCGCGGCGCAUUAGCUAGUUGGUGAGGUAAUGGCUCACCAAGGCAACGAUGCGUAGCCGAACCUGAGAGGGUGAUCGGCCACACUGGGACUGAGACACGGCCCAGACUCCUACGGGAGGCAGCAGUAGGGAAUCUUCCGCAAUGGACGAAAGUCUGACGGAGCAACGCCGCGUGAGUGAUGAAGGUUUUCGGAUCGUAAAGCUCUGUUGUUAGGGAAGAACAAGUACCGUUCGAAUAGGGCGGUACCUUGACGGUACCUAACCAGAAAGCCACGGCUAACUACGUGCCAGCAGCCGCGGUAAUACGUAGGUGGCAAGCGUUGUCCGGAAUUAUUGGGCGUAAAGGGCUCGCAGGCGGUUUCUUAAGUCUGAUGUGAAAGCCCCCGGCUCAACCGGGGAGGGUCAUUGGAAACUGGGGAACUUGAGUGCAGAAGAGGAGAGUGGAAUUCCACGUGUAGCGGUGAAAUGCGUAGAGAUGUGGAGGAACACCAGUGGCGAAGCGACUCUCUGGUCUGUAACUGACGCUGAAGAGCGAAAGCGUGGGGAGCGAACAGGAUUAGAUACCUGGUAGUCCACGCCGU